rnacentral:lncRNA from 1 species
UCCUGGGCUCAAGCAAUUCUCACACCUCGACCUCCUGAAUAUCUGAGACUACAGGUGCAUACCCACAUCCCGCUAGUUUUUAUACUGUUUGUAGAGGCUGGUCUGGAACUCCUGGGCUCAAGUGAUCUGCCACCUCAGCCUACCCAAGUGCUGGAAUUAUAGGUGUGAGCCACGUUGCCAGGCCUGAAUGUGUUUUUAAAUUUAAAGUUCCAGGCCGGGCACAGUGGCU